CCCAGUUCGGAUUGCAGGCUGCAACCCGCCUGCAUGAAGUUGGAAUCGCUAGUAAUCGCGGAUCAGCAUGCCGCGGUGAAUACGUUCCCGGGCCUUGUACACACCGCCCGUCACACCAUGAGAGUCGGGAACACCCGAAGUCCGUAGCCUAACAGCAAUGGGGCGCGGCCGAAGGUGGGUUCGAUAAUUGGGGUGAAGUCGUAACAAGGUACC
rnacentral:rRNA from 1 species